rnacentral:rRNA from 1 species
UACGGAGGGUGCAAGCGUUAUCCGGAUUCACUGGGUUUAAAGGGUGCGUAGGCGGGCAGGUAAGUCCGUGGUGAAAUCUCUGAGCUUAACUCAGAAACUGCCAUGGAUACUAUUUGUCUUGAAUAUUGUGGAGGUAAGCGGAAUAUGUCAUGUAGCGGUGAAAUGCUUAGAUAUGACAUAGAACACCAAUUGCGAAGGCAGCUUACUACACAGUAAUUGACGCUGAGGCACGAAAGCGUGGGUAGCAAACAGG